AUUGCCUAGUCACUGAAGCAUCAGAGAGGCAACAGGGAGGAUGCAGUUUUCAUUUUGUCCCAUGGACUGUGCUGGAAGGAACACGGGCUACAGAUCCUAAAAUCGUUUUCACUACCCAUGGAGAGAGCACUGCCUGAGGAGAGAGGCUGGUUACAAGCACACAGUGAGGAAUCUCAGUCACAGCAGGAGGAGGGAGCACUGCUGUCCUCGCUGCAGCCCAGCCUCAUGACAGCGAUGUAGCCAUUCCACAGCUGCUGGGAAGGAACCGAGCCAAGAGAGAAACCCUCGAGCUGUCAAUAGAUCCAGAUGUCACUGCUGCUGCUGCUGCUGCUGCUGCUGUUGGAAAGAGAUACACCAGAGGUUGUCAUCUGGUCAGCUGGUCCAUCUGUCAACCAGAGCACUAAUAUGACUGUUUAUGGCAGCAGCCGUCUUCGUGUUUUAUGCAUCAGACUACCACCUUCAGCUCCUUUGAAAGGUUUCCACUGUUACAAGUUGAGCAUAAAACUCCAUUUCUACCUACAGUUAUUUUAUAUAUAUUAAACGAACUAACUAACUAAAUAAAUAAAAGGCUAUUUUUAAAAAGUUUCCCUUU
ensembl:lncRNA